ensembl:lncRNA
GCGAAGGGGCCCCCUGCUGGCCGGACGCGGCAGCGCGGCGACCCGCUCCCGGUUCCCGCCGCCCCGCCGCGCCCCGCCCCGCUGCGACCCUCUGCGCCCCCAGCGCUGGGGCGCGUUAAAAGAAACAGAAAACAAAACAAAACAAACACGGCGCCAAAAUCCACUCUCACCUCGUCUACUGCUUGAAGGUCAUCUAAGAGGAAGGGACAUGAUGAUGGCCUGCUCUCGUCUCAGUCUAAGCACAGCUCUGCACAGCAAGGAGGAAAGAUCAUACUUCCUACACAAACUCCAACCCAGAACCACCUGUCAAAGGUAACCUGUAGUCAAUUCUGUCUCCCUGUAAGUGUACCCUACCCCUUUCCCAUGCAGUUGAGAAUAAAAUCGGGGCACACCAGUGUGUAUUCUGAAUCAAGAGCACAAGAGCAUGCUAGAGUGUUUGGGUAAGUAACCAUCAUAAAAACCUGGCUCUGUGUCCCUCGUAUCAUACUACAGAAGAUAAAAAGAAAAUGAAAGUGUUAGUUGCUCAGUCGUGUCCAAUUCUUUGUGAUCCCAUGGACAGUAGCCCUCCAGGCUCCUCUGUCCAUGGAAUUCUCCAGGAAAGAAUACUGGAGUGGAUGAGAAAUAUGUAAAAACUCUUUCACUGUCCUGAUUCACUUUUCUUCCAGAACACCUCUGGUUCAAUGUAACUAAAUUUUUGUUACAUAGUUUUAGGCUGUAUGACUCACUGUGACACUGCUCUUUGGCUCCAGUUCUUGUGUCAGAUUCCAUCACUAAGUAUCUUAUUUGAACAUGUUUUCUGACCUGACCCUCUGCCCCCUUUUUAGAACAGAACUCAGUAUUUCAUUUCUGUCUCUGUCUACGUUCCACCUUGACAGUGCAUCACCCAGAUGAGUUGGAUUACCCCAUGCAGCUGUUCUGGAAGAGUAAAGGGGUUACCUAUGCCUCUUUCCUGCCACUAACUUGCCCACACAUACCCCAACUCUCUUAGCCUAUGCCCCUCACUACCUGUGUACUGGUUGACAAUUUUCAAAGAAAAAGUAAUUGACAGCAUGAAAUAGGAAUGGAGGAGAGAAUUGAACUCACUGAUGACUCUGCAUUCGUUGCUUUUCCCAAAUUGGAAUAUAUAUUCUCUUUCCUAUUCUGCUCUCUCCUGUCAUUUUUUUCUCAAGAUAAUCCCAAGUUAAGGCCUUCUGAGAUUAGAUUCUUCUAGAAGCAGUCCCUGAGCCAAGGAUUGAGGUGCAAGUCAUUUUAUUUCUUGGGCAAAAUCAUUAAGGAAAUGAAGCAAUAGGGAAGAGGAGGGAAGAAGCCAAACCAGGGGCAGUUUAUUCAGCCUAAUCCUGAGAGUUUGCCAGCUGUAAAAAAAAGGCGAACUUUUGGUACCUUCACACCGGUUGGGGCAUUGAGAAGUGCACUGGGACAGGAAGAGCCUGGAAACCGGAGUACUAACUCCUGGCACUUCUGCUUCUCCGAGGUGCCAGAGGGCAAUCCUCUGAAGUAGAGCUGGUGUUCAGGGAGGGGCCCAGGGAACACAGAAGGGGAUUCUAGGGGACCUGGGCAAGGCACCAUGAGUGAGAAGUACAAAGGCACAUGCCUCUUCCUUUAGUCUGAAAGUUUGAUGCUGUUUUCUUAAAUCAUGUAAGAAUAUUGACUAGAAUUCUCUUUCAACCAAAGGGAAUCUUGUUUUCCAGUUACUAGUGUCAGGAUUAGACAGAAUGGUAUUACCUAGAAUAUGAUCAACUCAGCCAAGGUGGGAUGAAGUGACCCCAAAUUGCCUAAUACCACUGAGUACUAAUUAUGGCCUAGGCUUUUAAGACUGAAUGUAUGUUACUUCUUUUAAUCUCAUUUAAUUCUUUCAUCAACCCAAUACAAUACAUAUGAGUAUGUGGUUGAGCCAGGCAGCCUGACACUGGGGCCUAUACUUCCCUUCACAAAGAGGCUAAUUGGGUUCUACAAUAUUAGAAAGAAGAAACUCAUGACUCCUGGGCCUAAUUUCUGCACAUAACACCUCCAUUUCUUCCCACCCGCCCAAAAAUGAUGAAAAAAAAAAAAAAAAAAGAAUACCAACUCAAUGGAAUGAGAGCCCCAAGCCUGACCUCAUUAAGCUGAAUUCUAUCUAAUGUGUGUCAUCCAUGACUGCACACAUAGUUUUCCUGCCUUGGGGAUGUCAUAUCAGAACACGAUCUCCGGUGUUCUGGGUUGAAGCUUUUCCCACCAAGGGAAUAUGUUGUUUUCUUACUAGGCUUCAGAGCUAAGACACAGACCUUCAGAAGCCCUAAGCCUUAUAAAGGUUAUGACAAAAUAAAAACAAUACCAAACUAUGUAUAAAUAUAAUGAGACCUCUGUACUAUACAUUAGGUCCUUGUUGAUCAUCCAUUUUAAAUAUAGCAGUGUAUACAUGUCCGUCCCAAAUUCCCUGUCUGUCCCUUCCCCUUACCUUUACCCCUGGCAACCAUAAGUUCAGUCUUUAAGUCUGUGAGUCUCUUUCUGUUCUGUUAGUUCAAUUGUAUCAUUUUUUAGAUUCCAAAUAUAAGGGAUGUCAUAGGAUAUUUCUCCUUUUCUAUCUGACUUACUGUGGAACUCUGCUCAAUGUUAUGUGCCACCUGGAUGGAAGGGGAGUCUGGGGGAGAAUGGAUACAUGUAUUUGUAUGGCUGAGUCCCUCUGCUGUCCACCUGAAACUAUCACAACAUUGUUUGUGAUAAAAAGUUUUAAAAAAAGAGAGGCCUAGCAAUUCUCAGAAUUUAUCUUGAUGAUUUCUUCUUUCCUUAUCUGAAAUGUAUCCAAUUCUUUCAGAAAUUUAUUUUCUCUUCUUUUUUGUAAGGAAGGUGCUCCAGCUCUUUUGCUGUCUUCAGUACUAGCAAGAGUCUGACUAUUGAAUAAUCAACCACAUCACCCUCCUCUUUCCUCCCUCCACCCCACACUCUAGCAUACACAUACCCACAAUCAGCUUUACAUACACACACUUAUUUUCACACCAAAGUUUCUUGGCUUUUUUAGCAUGUAGUUCACAGUACUCAGAAAUCUCACAGAUAAGAAAUGUUUCCCUUGUGCUCAGUCGUUCAGUUGUAUCCAAAUCUGCGACCAUAGCCCACAGACCAUAGCCCACCAGUCGCCCAUGUCCAUGGGAUUUUUCAGGCAAGAAUACCGUAUAGAAUUUAUCUUUGAGGAAUAAGAUUUUAAAGCACGUCCAUUUUUCCUUCACUCAACUGCCAUUCUUUACAAACAGGAAACAUGCUCCUUCUCCCCUUACCAUGAGUUGUUCUGUCUCCCAAAUGAUGCUCUACGAUAUUGCUGCAAUUUAGACUACAAACUGCAUUUCCCCGUUACCUCUGGUUUAUAUUGUUCUCCCCUGCAGAGUUCCUUACCUGGUUUACUUCCAUCAACAGCAGUUUGUGAGUCUCAGAUGCUUUGCUGUUUAUAUUAAACUGAAUUUGUGUCAAAGCAGCUGUGAAUUCAUUACGAGAAGACUGUGAUUCCGUCCUGAAAUUUUGUCUUAGUUACCUGGUUUGUCCUCCGUUGUUAGUCAGUUACUUUAGAAUUGUGUUACAUUAGCUAUUUUAUUUAGCUGUUUUCCUACAUGCCAUUUUAGAAGAAAAAAAAUGGAAUAUAAUCCUUUAACAAAAGUGCCUGUAUGGAUGUAAUUCUUUAUCUUUUAUUUAAAAAUUGUUCUUCCAAACGUGGAGUAUAUGUUCUUUCCAGGUCUCCAUUUUAGGUAUGCUUGUUUCUGAAUUAAUGAAUUCCCCAGGUUUUAGAUAACUAUUGAUAAUAUUUUGUAUUGGCUCUCUUUACUAACAUAUCAAAUUAAUUUUGAAUCACUAGCAUCUAGUAAUAUUAUCAUGGAAAGUAAGAUUGCGUUUUCUCUCUGAGAUUCUCUUCUAGCAGUAACAUUUUGCUGCAUGAGGGGAAAAUCUAUUAAAGUCUUACCAUCUUUGUCUUCCUAAGCCUUAGUUUCCCCAAGUGCUUAGUGAGAAAUAGCAUAAAAGGCCCCCUUAGUGCUGUGUAGACUAAUGACAAAAAUUAUUGGAUUAAUGUUUGGAAAGUGUUUCAGAAUUCUCUCAAGAAAGCUAUUAUGUAAGUAGCAAGUACUAUUAUUAUUUUGCUAUUUCAGCUUCCUUAUUUUUCAUCUCUCAAAGUCAUUUGGGUCAUUUACUAUGGAAUUUUCUGAUUCCUUGACAAUUUUUAAUGGCUCUUUGGAGAGCCUUUUGAGGGCUGUUUAAUCCCUUUGUUGAUGAUCCGUCUGCUUAUGGAGUUCAUGCUUUUUUCACAACACAUUAAUAUUCAGGAUUUAAGAAAAUAGUUGUGGCUGUUUUGUACCUAGAUGAAAUUACUUAUCUUGAGAAGACAUUUAUUAUCUUGGUUUUCAGAUGGGAUUUUUUAUUUUUUGUAGACUUAUUUUGUGGGGAGGAAGAAAUAGAACUCAGCAAUGCCAAUUAUUAAUGAUGCUAUUUGGAAGAAAUAUAAAUUAAGGCAUGGUCUCCCAAUCAUUCUCUGAAGCCACUUCAAUGCUUUCUUCCUAAUGUAUGGCGAUCUUUAUGCCCUCUAGAUUAUAAUCGCAAAUUAACAAUGCCAAUUCUAUGAGUAAGGAGCCCAUGCUAUGAAUUUCCAUACAUAUAUUAUAAAUAUUUACAUUUUCUCACAAUUUCUACAAUUGAAGAAGAGAAGGGGACAACAUAUUUUCUGACGUCCUUAUCCUCUAAGCUCUUGUGAACAGGAAUUAGGACCAGAAGCUGUUUUUUCCCAUAGAAAUCAUUAUGUAAAUUCUAGAGUGGGAGAGAAAGGUAAAACUGGGGAUUAGGUGCUUACUGUUGUUUAGUGACAAAAUUAUAUCUAGAAAAUGGUUUAGAGUGUUAUUCAGGGUUUAUAUCUAUAUGUAAUUUCACUAAAUCUGGUUCCAAAUAGUUUUAGCAGAUGUAAGUUUUACCUUAGGAGUGUCAAAUAUAGAAAGGGAAAAUAUUGAAAAUCAAGUUUUCUUGUUUUGGUACCAUUCUGAAAGUAAUUUUUUUCUUUUUUUAAGCAGUUUUUUUCUGACAGUAUAUAAAGUGAUUCUGUUUUUAAAAAGUGAAUAGUUGUAAUUUCUUAUUCUGGUAAUAGCGAUUUGAAAUGAAAUAAUUAAGCAUUUUCCUACCUUCACUAACUAUAUUUUAGGGUAGGCAAAUAGCUCCAACUGAUGAGGAUUAUUAUUAUUAUUAUUACUUUUUUUGCUGAAGAAUGCCAACUAAUGAUUGUAGAAAGAAUUAGAAAAUCAUAAACUUUCUACCCCCAAUGAAAUAAUUGCUUGAGACAGUGAUCUUCAAUAGAAUAGACAAUUAGGUGAAAGGUUGUUGGGGAACUUUACAGUGAGAGUUCAGCUGUUGCCACCUGAACUAAUGAUUAGCCAAGUGUCACUCGUGGAGGGGGACCAGCCAAUGUGUGCUCCUGAAGGAGCAUCCCUGAAUGAGUGUUGUUGCUACAAAACAAGUUGACUCCGCAUUUAAUCAAGCCUCCAGAGCUAACUUCCAUUUACAAGAGAAAUGGAAAAUAUUAAUAGAAAUAAUGUCAUAUAGACGUACAGAUAAAUCCAAAUUGUGAGCCAUUUUAUAGGACAAAUAACCAGUUUCUGUAAUAAACCCAUGAUAUAGGGCCAGCAGGUAUAAGGGUGAAUGGACUGCUUUAUUUUAAAACAGCUAUAUGUGAUGAGCAAAUUUUGCCUGAAUCCUGAUUCAGAUAAACCUAUGCUUAGAAGGACAUGUUUUGAGACAUUCAGGGAAAUUUAAUUAUGGAGCAUACAUUGUAUGAUGACGGUGAGUUACCGUUGUGUUUUAGGUGUGAUAAUGUCAUUAUAGUUCAGUUCAUUUCAGUUCAGUCACUCAGUCGUGUCUGACUCUUUGUGAUCCCAUGAAUUGCAGCAUGCCAGGCCUCCCUGUCCAUCACCAACUCCCGGAGUUCACUCAGAUUCGUGUCCAUCGGGUCAGUGAUGCCAUCCAGCCAUCUCAUCCUCUGUCGUCCCCUUCUCCUCCUGCCCCCAAUCCCUCCCAGCAUCAGAGUCUUUUCCAAUGAGUCAGCUCUUCACAUGAGGUGGCCAAAGUACUGGAGUUUCAGCUUUAGCAUCAUUCCCUCCAAAGAAAUCCCAGGACUGAUCUCCUUUAGAAUGGACUGGUUGGAUCUCCUUGCAGUCCAAGGGACUCUCAAG